AGUGAACGCUGGCGGUAGGCCUAACACAUGCAAGUCGAACGGCAGCACAGUAAGAGCUUGCUCUUACGGGUGGCGAGUGGCGGACGGGUGAGGUAUACAUCGGAAUCUACUUUUUCGUGGGGGAUAACGUAGGGAAACUUACGCUAAUACCGCAUACGACCUACGGGUGAAAGCAGGGGAUCUUCGGACCUUGCGCGAUUGAAUGCGCCGAUGUCGGAUUAGCUAGUUGGCGGGGUAAAGGCCCACCAAGGCGACGAUCCGUAGCUGGUCUGAGAGGAUGAUCAGCCACACUGGAACUGAGACACGGUCCAGACUCCUACGGGAGGCAGCAGUGGGGAAUAUUGGACAAUGGGCGCAAGCCUGAUCCAGCCAUACCGCGUGGGUGAAGAAGGCCUUCGGGUUGUAAAGCCCUUUUGUUGGGAAAGAAAAGCAGCAGGUUAAUACCCCGCUGUUCUGACGGUACCCAAAGAAUAAGCACCGGCUAACUUCGUG
rnacentral:rRNA from 1 species